AACAUGUUACUGAGUGGCCUCUUCUCCACCACUCAAUAACAAGAGCAAGUAUUUUGGAAGGAUUAAAAGUGCGGAGGACUCAGUCUCUGCUGCAGGUUUC
rnacentral:sRNA from 1 species